UGGGGAAUUUUCCGCAAUGGGCGAAAGCCUGACGGAGCAAUACCGCGUGAGGGAUGAAGGCUCGUGGGUUGUAAACCUCUUUUCUUAGGGAAGAAGUUCUGACGGUACCUAAGGAAUAAGCAUCGGCUAACUCCGUGCCAGCAGCCGCGGUAAUACGGAGGGGGUUAGCGUUGUUCGGAAUUACUGGGCGUAAAGCGCGCGUAGGCGGACUAUUAAGUCAGGGGUGAAAUCCCGGGGCUCAACCCCGGAACUGCCUUUGAUACUGGUAGUCUUGAGUUCGAGAGAGGUGAGUGGAAUUCCGAGUGUAGAGGUGAAAUUCGUAGAUAUUCGGAGGAACACCAGUGGCGAAGGCGGCUCACUGGCUCGAUACUGACGCUGAGGUGCGAAAGCGUGGGGAGCAAACAGGAUUAGAUACCCCGGUAGUCC
rnacentral:rRNA from 1 species